rnacentral:rRNA from 1 species
GACGUAGGGCGCGAGCGUUGUCCGGAUUUAUUGGGCGUAAAGAGCUCGUAGGCGGCUCGUUGCGUCGGCUGUGAAAACCCGCAGCUCAACUGUGGGCUUGCAGCCGAUACGGGCGGGCUAGGAUUCGGUAGGGGAGACUGGAAUUCCUGGUGUAGCGGUGAAAUGCGCAGAUAUCAGGAGGAACACCAGUGGCGAAGGCGGUUCUCUGGGCCUUACCUGACGCUGAGACGCGAAAGCGUGGGGAGCGAACCGG